rnacentral:rRNA from 1 species
AUACGGAGGGGGUUAGCGUUGUUCGGAAUUACUGGGCGUAAAGCGUAAGUAGGCGGUUUGGUAAGUCAGAUGUGAAAGCCCCGGGCUCAACCUGGGAACUGCAUUUGAAACUGGCAGGCUAGAGUAUGGUAGAGGGGGGUAGAAUUUCUGGUGUAGCGGUGAAAUGCGUAGAUAUCAGAAGGAAUACCAGUGGCGAAGGCGGCCCCCUGGACCAAUACUGACGCUGAGGUACGAAAGCGUGGGUAGCGAACAGGAUUAGAUACCCCAGUAGUCC